rnacentral:rRNA from 1 species
CUUGGUCAUUUAGAGGAAGUAAAAGUCGUAACAAGGUUUCCGUAGGUGAACCUGCGGAAGGAUCAUUCAUAAUAAGUGUUUUAUGGCACUUUUUAAAUCCAUAUCCACCUUGUGUGCAAUGUCAGUCGAUCUUCUUCAUGGAGAUCGACCAAACAUCAACCUUUAUCUUUUAACUCUUUGUCUGAAAAAUAUUAUGAAUAAACAAUUCAAAAUACAACUUUCAACAACGGAUCUCUUGGCUCUCGCAUCGAUGAAGAACGCAGCGAAAUGCGAUACGUAAUGUGAAUUGCAGAAUUCAGUGAAUCAUCGAAUCUUUGAACGCAUAUUGCGCUCUUUGGUAUUCCGAAGAGCAUGCUUGUUUGAGUAUCAGUAAACACCUCAAAGCUUUUGGAUUUUUUAAUCGAAAAGCUUUGGACUUGAGCAAUCCCAACACCAAUCUUUUUGAGAUCGGUGGCGGGUUGCUUGAAAUGCAGGUGCAGCUGGACAUUCUCCUGAGCUAAAAGCAUAUUCAUUUAGUCCCGUCAAACGGAUUAUUACUUUUGCUGCAGCUAACAUAAAGGGAGUUUGACCGUAUUGGCUGACUGAUGCAGGAUUUCACAAGGGUCGGCAACGAUUCUUGUUAAACUCGAUCUCAAAUCAAGUAAGACUACCCGCUGAACUUAAGCAUAUCAAUAAGCGGAG